GACUUACAAUGCAAAUAAAUUCUCUGAGCUAAACUAACAGGCGCCGCCGGGACAGCCUAGGCGGGAGGCCUCCGUGGCACUAGAAGCCUCGGAGAGCCCCCUACAGGCGGGAGGACCCGAAAGGAAAGUACUUCUGCUCAGAUGGGCGGAGCUAGGGAGGCGGGGGCGGAAGUGACGGUGAUACGCUGGCAAAGGCGGGUUCUUCGGCUUGCGCUAAGAGGGUGAGGUGUAGUGGGCUCUUCGUGUUUCUGGAGAAGUUAUUUUACUAAAGGCUCGAGAACUCUGUUCUGUCACCAUGGACACGGGAUGUCGUUUAGACACUUAUUGUUUUGGGGGUCUCCUUUUCCUGCUCGAAAUAUGAGGUUUCUCUUGGAGUUUUAGCUUUGUGCCAUAGCUACAGCCUCUGACUAGGGCCCACACUGGAGCAAAGAGGUACAUGGAGAGUUUCUUGCCUUUUGGGAAGUCUGAGGUCUUCUGCCAGCGUUCUGUAGGAGCUGUUCCACACAUCCAUGUAUUUUUGAUGUAUUUGUGGGGAGGAAGGUGAUCUCCACGUCUUACUCCUCUGCCAUCUUGAAGGUCCCCUCCUAUUGUUAUUGAAAGGAAAAAAAACUCUACCAAUCGGUACAGCAGUUCACGGCAGAGCUAUUCAGAAUAAAGGAAUGGAUGCUGUUAACGUUGAUGUCAAUAUGAUACUUGGAUGGCAUUUGGCAAAAGGACUCAGGAGUAUCCAAAUCCUUCCCUGUCUUGGUCAUUCUUCCUUGAGAAUGCCUCAAAGAAAGCGUGUGUGCAGGAUACAUUGACCAGCAGAGCAUAGUGACAUCACAUUGGAAUGACUUCUGGGACUUCUUUCCCAAACUCAAAGCAGAGCCAGUGGGAGUCAACCAGAGUUCCACAAAAGUUCCCUCAUUUGUAUCUACUGGAAUGGCUUCAGUGGUGUGGAAACAAAGAAGGCCGAAAGUCUUGUUCUGACCAUUUCUACCACAAUAUCCAUUUCACAUUUGGAUCUUACUAUCUCAUGUGGUGAAAAUUCACUCACCAGUGCCAAGGUGUGAAACAUAAGGACAGCUGAAGACAGAGAGUCUGUCCCAAUGUCUUAAUGUGCCCUGCCUGGGCCCUCUUGAUUUAGCUGCCUUGUGGAAGAGAAAGAGCAGAUGAAGAGAAAAAGAAAGAGAAAGGAGAGAAGAGAGAGAGAGGACCAAGCUUUCCCUUGGGGAGAAUAGGCCCUAAGCUUAGCCUUACUUCAUCAGGUCAGAGAGUCCAGACAGACAAAAAUGGAGGGAAGAGUUAGCCAUCAUUUUUCUUCCCUUAUUACCAUCGUAACAUCUUAGGAGGAAGAGAACUGGAAGGGUAAGACUUCACACAGUGUGUGACCUUGACCUCUAUAAACAGUACAGUGAUCUAAUUCAGAGACCAGAGUCUGAUCAUCCAGAUCAACAAUGGGUUGAGUUGGGCUUUGGGGGACAGCAGGGUUGAAUAAAACCGAGAAUUCCUCAGAGAGGCCAGCAGGACCAUUAUUUUGAUGUCAGCCUUUGAAGUGGUCACUGUGCCUAAUUCAAAAUUUCGAGGUCUCAGUUCCUCAUGUUUUAGUGAAGAGCAAGUCUAAAUUUUAUACUUGCUGUGUAAAAAUUUUACUGAUGGCCCUGGUAUUGCCUUAUCGUCUCAUCUGCUGAGGCACUUUUUGUCUGCCUUGUUGAUUUUUUCUUGUUGAAAGUAUAAAGUACGUUCUAGACUUUAUAGUGUAUCUUUUCAAGGUUUGGCCCUGUGUCCUCAACUGGGGCAGGUGCUGCUUUGGGGCAGGUGCCUUGUAAUUUACCUCAUUGUAUUUCCAGGAUCCAACACAGUGUUUGGAAUUGAGUAGGCACUCAAUAAAUGUUUGAUGAUGAUGAAGUUGCCUGGUGUUUGGAGGACAUUAUUCAGGUUCAUUAAGGCUUUACCAGCACUUUUUAAAAAAUGAAAACUAUUUUCAAAUCUCUAUUUUGGAAGUUUUUCUCAGUAUUUUCCUUUCCUAAAAAUUGAUUUAGCAUUUUCAAUACAGCUUGACAGACUAAAUUUAUUUUUUGCCUUUGUACUUAUUCUUUUAGAAGAACAUAUAUAUAAAGAAAAUAUAUUUGGCAGAAGAUAUAUGUGAUGAACUGCAGAGACAGAAGCCACGUCUUUAGAACUAAAGUGGUACCCAAGGGAAGAGCAAUAGAAAACUUGCCUUGGAGUGACUCAGUGCAGGUGGUUGAAAUAGGAAGCUGGGAUCAAUCCUAGAAGGGCAGGUUGAAUUAUUUUUCCAUUUUCACUGUUCCCUUUUCCAGUGCUCUUUCUCAGAUCAAAAUGAUGAUUAUAAUGAGAAAAUAUAAAUGGGAAAUAUAAUGAGAAGUGAUUAUUCUUUCUUGCGAGUCAACAUGCUAAGUUAUGUAUUAUGCCAGCUCAUUUAAUCCACACAACUACUCUAUAAAGAACAUAGUGUUAUUAUCUGUAAUUAAUAAACUAGAAAACUGAGGCUCAGAGGAUUUGAGCAACUUGCCUAAAUCCCACCACCUGUAAUGGCAGAGCUUUGAGGCAAACGCACCCUAGUCUGGCCCAUGACCUUGACCACCAUGCUCCGCUGUCUCCUGAAGGCCAAGAAGUGUUCUUGGGAACAGAAACAAAGGAAACUUUGGAGAACAGGGAUGGCCUACUCCUCAGACAACUUUUGGGAAGUUACCCAAACCAUCAGAAAUUUGAGCUGCAUAUUUUAUGAAGGUGGCAAUCAAGCCAGUUGAAGGUUUACUUAGAGUUUUGGACUGACACUUUCGCAGAGAUUUAAAAGUAACUCAGAGACAGUUUAGUUUGAACUUUGAGAUUGACAUGUUUUGCUGACUGUUCUGCACGCUAGUCAUUUUCUGCUGAAAAGAAUGAUUUACUUGUAUAAAAGAAUGAUCUGUGAUUGGCUUAUUGUCAGAAACAAAUAAAAAAAGUUAUAAUAAACAAGACAGGUUAUUUUGAAGGUGGUGAAAACCUGGAAUCAGGUGCAGUAUUAGCUUUUUGGUAUGUGUAUAUAAUUUCAUUUACCUUGUCUAGAGCAUCCAUUUUUGUGUGUUUUUUGAAAUAAUGAAUGGAGUUAUUUUAACCGAGUGCUAAUGUGGUGAAUGCCAGGUGAGAAAUUCAAUUGAAAUGCUGUCACAAGAUCCUUUUGUUUUACUGACAAGAGGUGUCAUGUUCUCGUGAAUCCCGAUACAUGGAGUGUGAACUGAUAAAUAGUUUGGAGAUGAAAUUGUCAGUCACCAUUAUCACACUCAAGCCAUUAUUUUUUCUGGUAGCUUACACUGCCAUGAAAUUUAAGUUCUGGAGUGUGAGGCAAGUAGAAGGUAAAAACAGUAUGGAUGUGACCAUAAAUUGGAAAAGUGCUUAGGUUAGAAAAGUAAUAUUCCAAAGGGGCUUAAAUAUAGGGAGAAAGAUUUGCUGCUACUUCUGAGACUGAGAGGAGGAGGAAGCCAGGAAGAGGGGGAAGAUCAGAGGUGGAUCUACCUUGAAGCUAAGGAAACUUAAUCUUUAGGGUCCCUUCCAUGAUGAAGAUCAUUCCAGUGAAUGCAGUCUGUUCACAUGCCAUAUACUUCUGUAAAAUUUGUGCAAGAUAUAUAACAGCAAUCAGUUAAGUUUGCUGUCUUUUUCCACUCUUACGUCUCUUCCAUUACACUUCUCCUACUUUUGGAUGGUUUUAGAAUGACCCCAGAUGUUGUUUGAAGGAAACUUGAGUGGAGAAUAUGUUUUGUUUUAGUGUAAUGGAAUAUAUUUAUGUGAUCCACACCAUUACUUCCCAUAUAUUUAAGUUACUAUUUCCUCAUUCUGGCAUAAGAAUAGCUUCCAGAAAUACACCUCUUGCCCACUCUGCCAACUUGAUUGAUGCUAUGAUUCACAGGUAUGUGGCCAAACUGAUAUGAAUAUGCUUAAGGUACCCAGUAUCUAAAGUAUGUGUGCAGUGGAACAAAACAAGAUUUAAAAUAUAUGGAGCCAGAAACCAGUCUGUAGAAAAUUUUUCUAAUCAUCAGAUGUGUAAAACUGUAAUUGGAGGAUUUGGUUCCUAUCAAUAUUCUCACCUGUCAGGAAUACAGUUAACAAUACAGUGCGUAAAUUCAUCAGAUGUAUUUUGCAUUUUUCUGGUGGAAAUUGUGUGAAAGAGAAUUUGUCAGAACUUCUGUAGGGCAAAUCUGUAGUGGUUCUACAAGUAUUGAUUAUAUCUGUAAUAACCAUAGACAAAAGAAACUUUAGAAGAGAAGGUAUCAUUUAUUUAAUACCGCAUAACAAACCUCCCAAAACUUACUGCCUUAAAACAAAAAAUCAUUGUUCUGUGGUUGGCAACUUAGCCUGGGCCUUUGUGAGAUGGCUCAUCUUGCUCUCUGUGGUGUAGACCAUAAGUCUAAGAUCUCAGUUGAGGUGGCCAAUGCUUUUUCUUCUCCCUAUAAGGUAUUGCAUCCUCUAUAAAGCACCAAGGUUUGUUCACAUUCACAGAGUGAGCAUAAGCAAGGAUUCUUGAGGCCUGGGAUAAUAACUCAGUGUUACUGCUGCUAUAUUCUAUUAAUCAAAGAAAAUCACAAGUCCAGCCCAGGUUCAAGGAGUGUGAAAAUAGACACCACUCGUUGUGGGUGUUGCUGAAAAGAAUUUAUGGUCACUUUUUGUACUCUACCAUAUAGGAUUUCCCAAUUUGACAAAAAUCUUCAACAUUUACGUAACAACACUAAGUUGUGAAUCUGAAAGAAAUUACUAAGCUAUCAGUAAUUUUAAAAUGAAGUCAACUGUGCUGAAUUACCAUUCUGUUCUCCCUCUUUAAAAUGAUAUUGGAGAAUUAUUGUCACAUGAAGAGGCAAUCAGAGAGUCUGGAGCCAAGGUGGGCAUGGAGAGAAGGAUCAAUGAAAUGUGUCUUUGAGAUCCAGUUGAAUUUACAUUUGGUUUAUAUGACCCAGAUGUCACAGUACUAUGCUUGGGAGCUUAUAAGGCCUUGGUUUGAAUAAGUUAACAUCACUUAACAGUUGAGAAAUUUGGGGAAAGUUACCUAUUCUUUCUUUGAUAAUCAGUUUUUCAUCUGAUUGAAAUGAUAAUAGUCAUUUUCUGCUGAAGAGAAUGAUUUACUUGUAUAAAAGAGUGACCUGUGAUUGGCUUAUUGUCAGAAACCAAUUUUAAAAAAAUAAACCAAGACAUCAUUUUGAAGGUGGUGAACACCUGGAAUCAAGUGUAGUAUUAGCAUCUUUGUAUAUGUAUAUAAUUUCGUUUACCUUGUCUAGAGCUUUUUUCAUAUUUUUAUGGAUAUUAAUGUAUUAAAUAAUGUAUUAAAGUAUUUAAUAAUCUUCUGGUACGUGCUAGGCAGACAGAGAUACAUUUUUAUUGAACCUGCCUGUGUCCCAGGUUCUGUUCUAGGAACUGGGGUUAUAGUGGUGAAUAACAAAAUUCCUACCUUCAAGAAGGUUCCAUUUUAGUUAUACAGCAGAAAUUAACACAACAUUGUAAAUCAACUUAUACUUCAAUAAAAUUUUAAAAAGUU